GACGAACGCUGGCGGCGUGCUUAACACAUGCAAGUCGAACGGAAAGGCCCUGCUUUUGUGGGGUGCUCGAGUGGCGAACGGGUGAGUAGCACGUGAGUAACCUGCCCUUGACUUUGGGAUAACUUCAGGAAACUGGGGCUAAUACCGGAUAGGAGCUCCUGCUGCAUGGUGGGGGUUGGAAAGUUUCGGCGGUUGGGGAUGGACUCGCGGCUUAUCAGCUUGUUGGUGGGGUAGUGGCUUACCAAGGCUUUGACGGGUAGCCGGCCUGAGAGGGUGACCGGCCACAUUGGGACUGAGAUACGGCCCAGACUUCUACGGGAGGCAGCAGUGGGGAAUAUUGCACAAUGGGCGGAAGCCUGAUGCAGCAACGCCGCGUGCGGGAUGACGGCCUUCGGGUUGUAAACCGCUUUCGCCUGUGACGAAGCGUGAGUGACGGUAAUGGGUAAAGAAGCACCGGCUAACUACGUG
rnacentral:rRNA from 1 species